rnacentral:misc_RNA from 1 species
UGUUCACUCGUGGUUCUUGUGUUGCUACCCAUUUAGCGGUAUUCAUGUGCCUCUUAAGACCCGUUCAAUCCAGACCCCUUCUAGGGAGUGCUGGUGAGUUCGAAAGUGAUGCAUGUUUUGCGUUAGCUGUGAAAUGCAACGGUUGGCGUGCUAACAUGUGUCUACUGUUCCCUCGGAUGCGGUGCAUGCAGUGAACGUGGGCUGACGAUUGUGCCCCGUUUAAUUAUCGGUUGCCUUGAAUGACACUUUGUCGUAGUGCUGGUGUUGCUUUACCAUUCGUGGUGUCAACACUAGUAUGUCGAGCAGAGUCGUUGAUGGAUGCUACCUGGUUGAUCCUGCCAGUAGUCAUAUGCU